UGGGGAAUAUUGGACAAUGGGCGAAAGCCUGAUCCAGCCAUGCCGCGUGUGUGAAGAAGGUCUUCGGAUUGUAAAGCACUUUAAGUUGGGAGGAAGGGCAGUAAGCGAAUACCUUGCUGUUUUGACGUUACCGACAGAAUAAGCACCGGCUAACUCUGUGCCAGCAGCCGCGGUAAUACAGCGGGUGCAAGCGUUAAUCGGAAUUACUGGGCGUAAAGCGUGCGUAGGUGGUUCGUUAAGUUGAAUGUGAAAGCCCCGGGCUCAACCUGGGAACUGCUUCCAAAACUGGCGAGCUCGAGUAGGGCAGAGUGUGGUGGAAUUUCCUGUGUAGCGGUGAAAUGCGUAGAUAUAGGAAGGAACACCAGUGGCGAAGGCGACCACCUGGGCUCAUACUGACACUGAGGUGCGAAAGCGUGGGGAGCAAACAGG
rnacentral:rRNA from 1 species